CAAGACGUGCGCGCAAGGGCGGGCGCCCGCGGGCGAGCAGCGUGACGCAGCGACGGCCCGCCCGGGCUUCCGGGGCAUCACCCGGUCGGCGCGGUCGCGGCGCGCCGAGGGCCCGACGCCUGGCGGAGAAUCAGGGUUCGACUCCGGAGAGCGGGCCUGCGAGACGGCCCGCACAUCCAAGGACGGCAGCAGGCGCGGAACUUGCCCAAUGCGCGGCGCGCGAGGCAGCGACGGGGAGCGCGCGAGCGAGGCGGGCCCACAGCCCCCGCCGCGGAGCCGAGGGCAAGGUCUGGUGCCAGCAGCCGCGGUAAUUCCAGCUCGGCGAGCGUCGCGCGGCGCUGCUGCAGUUAAAACGCCCGUAGUUGGCCCCCCGCCGCCACGAGGAAACGGGAGCGCUCCAGGCAGGCCCGUUGGACCCGCCGCGUGGGA
rnacentral:rRNA from 1 species